rfam:Grifola frondosa strain 9006-11 000063F, whole genome shotgun sequence.
UUGAGCCGUAUGCGUUGAAAGGCGCACGUACGUUCUUAGGAGGGGAAAGCCUGUGAGGGCCUACCUAUUCCAAU